AGGAACAACCUUAGAAAUAUCAGUCCCAUAGUUUGCAUGCAGAUCUUUUUCUGCAAUAAACACACUUUUUAUUUCCUUCUUUUGACAUCACCGAAGAGAUGUGUAUUUGCAUUUCAAUACUAGAUUUGAUGGGAAAUCACCUGGAUCCCACUUUACCUGGCAGUGCUUAAAAGUGCUUUAUGCUUUGAACUAUAAGAACAGAUAACACCAUGAAGAGAAGAAAUCUCUGUUAAAAGAUGAAAAAUGUACUUUAUCUCUUUGCAUUUCCACCAAGUUUUUGAAGCUCACAGGCUGCAAGCUAGGCCUGCAUCUGAGUGUAGGCAGUAUUGUUUGUAUCUGCUUUUCAAAGGAAAUAUUGCUGAGCAAAUCUUUACGUGGGUUUUAUUCCACUGAGAUGCACUGGAGAAAAUGAGAAACUGAAAUGGGGCUACAUUUAAACAGGACUGGCCAUUUGUCACAUCUAUGGGACUAGGAGAGCAGAGUGAAUGACGCCAAGGCUGAAACACUUGCAAAUGUCUUCACUGCUGCUAAUUUCAUUCUGUACUUGAUGGAAAAGAAUGUUCUUCCUUUGUUCAAUGUUUUUGUGCCAGAAAUUGAAAAGUGCAAUGACCUAAUUAUUUCUUUAUUGUACCAGCAUGUCUUCAAGUGACUGAUGUUUCAUACUGAUGGAAGAUUAUUGUUGCUAACUAUGUUGCUGUAGUGUGCACACACUCUUUCACUUCAAUUAGAAAGUGUUAUUUUCAAUAAAAAAACGUUGUUUUGUGCUGUGACUUGCAGCUCAGAAGUUUGUCCCAUGGGUUUCUUAUUAUACAAAAGUAGAGAGAUCCAGGGGAAACAGAAAGAAUGAAAAUUUAGAAGACUAUUUCCUAGUCCAAUCUUUGCAACUCAAACUUUGCAAACUUUGCAGACUUUGCAACACUAGAAAACUUUUUUCAAGUCAAUCAUUUAUGCAUCUUCAGAAGGAAAUAAAUUUCCCUUUGUUUCUCAGUGAAGCCCUUUAGGGUUCACAGUGUUUUAAUUGGCAAGAAUGACCUGACACAGAGUUUCAAUGACAGUGAUUAUGAGAAACAAAAGUGCACAUCCUUUAAGGCCAAAGGCUGCACUGAAACCUGUAUCAUCAUCUCACAGUGACAUUAUUAUUAUUACGUGCUAGGAACGUUACAGUCUAUGAGACUUCCUAAAGCACCGAUUCAGCUGUGAAGUAAAAUGUAAUAGUUUAUCGUCCUGUCAUUUUAUCAAACUACCCACGCAUUGUUAAAAGACUGUUGGGGAUUGUAGAACUUGCAUUAAUUUCUACAUUCGUUGGCUACACAGAUCAGAGUGCCUCUGUAUUUCUGCUAUGAGAGAAUUCACACAUGUGUUUAAUUAAUGCUAGGUUAUAAUGAUAUUCGCUAUAAUUUACUGUGUCAUUACGGCUUAUUGUAGAUGCUCAAUUUGAAAGGAGAUGACAAAUCUGUGCCUGGAAGAGAUAACAUUUUUUAAUUUUGCAGGUGAUUAGAAAGUAUAGGUCAAAUUUUGUCCCCAGAUUUCACAGAAUUCCUCUGAGACAGAAUCUGGUCCUAGCUUACAAUAGACUUGUGUAAGUCGGCAAAGAAAGCUAAUUUGCACAAUGUUGAAAGGACUAUGUUCUACAGAGUAUAUAAAACAGCUCAGCUUGUCUUCAACUGCUAGCGAACUCAUGUAGGUUCAAGCUAAUUACUUUUUGGCACAGAGAGACCAAAAGUCAUAGUUGCUUGUUUUGAACAGUCACUUAUAAAUUAACUGUCAAAAUCACCCUAAACUGCAUGAGCUCAAUGGCUCAUUAGAUUGGCCAAAGUUAGCAUAUAAGCUUUAAAUCAAUUUAUAAGAUAAAUUGGUUUGCUACUUGAAUUUUUUGGUAGAGCCAUUACUUGUCUUAAUGCACGUUAAUUUUACCAUCUUUUAUUUUUUAAACUUUAUGCUUUUAGCUGCCAAAGCCUAGGCAACAAGAAAAAACUCCAUAGGUAUGCAUUUCUCACAGGAGUUAGAAAUAGCUUCACUGAGACCAUAUAACAUCUUGUGCUUUGACAAUCAGCUUUCCCAUUAACAUGAGAAUGCUUUGGAUCAGAUCUUAGGAGAAUAGUUUUUGAGUUCUUAGACACUUUUAGCAUUUUUUUUUCCUAUAUAUUUCUGAACUGUGUUUUUUAUGUUAGGAAGAGCCUUACAGUAAAAACAGAGUAGAGCCAGAUUGUAUUUUAUUAUGUCUUCAUAUGAAAUGGUUUAUGUUGCAUUCCAGUAUGCCAUAAAUUAAAAGUAUUUCAUUUUGUCCUCUGUUUUUUGUUUCUUUUUUUUGAUUGCAGUCCAAACGUUAAUCUCUGAAUCUAUAUGUA